rnacentral:rRNA from 1 species
AUUGAACGCUGGCGGCAGGCCUAACACAUGCAAGUCGAACGAGUGGCGGACGGGUGAGUAAUGUCUGGGAAACUGCCUGAUGGAGGGGGAUAACUACUGGAAACGGUAGCUAAUACCGCAUACCAUCAGAUGUGCUCAGAUGGGAUGAGCUAGUUGGUGGGGUAACGGCUCACCAAGGCGACGAUACCUAGCUGGUCUGAGAGGAUGAACGGCCACACUGGGACUGAGACACGGUCCAGACUCCUACGGGAGGCAGCAGUAGGGAAUAUUGGGCAAUGGACGCAAGCCUGAUGCAGCCAUGCCGCGUGUAUGAAGAAGGCCUUCGGGUUGUAAAGUUCUUUCAGCGGAGAGGCGUUACCCAAAGAGGAAGCACCGGCUAACUCCGUGCCAGCAGCCGCGGUAAUAC